rnacentral:rRNA from 1 species
UACGGGGGGGGCAAGCGUUGUUCGGAAUUACUGGGCGUAAAGGGCUCGUAGGUGGCCAACUAAGUCAGACGUGAAAUCCCUCAGCUUAACUGGGGAACUGCGUCUGAUACUGGAUGGCUUGAGUUUGGGAGAGGGAUGCGGAAUUCCAGGUGUAGCGGUGAAAUGCGUAGAUAUCGGGAGGAACAUCAGUGGCGAAGGCGGUUGCCUGGGGCUUUGCUGACGCUGAGGCGCGAAAGCGUGGGGAGCGAUCCGG